GCCUUCGUGGUGUAGUAGUCAGCACGCUCGACGCGCAUUCGAGAGGUUCGUGGUUCGAAUCCCGUCGAGGGAA
rnacentral:tRNA from 1 species